rnacentral:lncRNA from 1 species
UUGGAAAGUGGCACUUUUCAUCUGGUAGUUUCUGUACAUUUGGGAGAGUCUGAGCCCCCGCACCACAUAUGAACCUCUGUCCAGGAGGAGGGAAAGGUCGUGGUCUCUGGAGUACUUAGGUUCUGAGCCUCCUUCCUCUGCAGCCUCCGAUCUCCUCACACCCUCUGUGCCCGUGUCAUGGAAGUGGUUAGGGCUGGCGUGGAGGGUGGCACCUGAUCAGGAGUGAACCACUUUCCUGAGAAUCUCUGGAUUUGAAGGGGCAGGUGCAUUGAUGUGAGAUGGCUCUGGGUUCGAAUCCCGACGUCUUGAGAUGUUCACUGAGUGACUGUGGGCCCUGUGGCCUCCCAUCUCUGACUCUCAGAGGCUGUAGUAAUGCCGUUUCUGCCCUCUGCAAGGUCCAGGCCUGGCAGAACCCUCUGGCAGGCAUCUAGGGAAACCCCAGAAGGCUCCGGGGGCCUCCCUCCCUCCCAUCAGAUAGUGUCCCCAGGCAGAGAGGCGGUUCCUGACGGCAGGGUGGCUGAUCUCCGCAUCCCUCCUCCUUCCAGCCGACUUAAUGAAGCCAAGUUUGCAAAUGAAACAUAAUUUCAAAGACAGGCAUGUUGUUGGAAGGUCUCGGGAUGAUCUGUGUUUGUGGCCGCUCCUUAGCAGCUGUCUCUUUAAUUACUGCAGAUGCUAACGAGGUGCCCGGAGCAUCUGGUUACAGGGACAGAGCCACUGUCUGUUUGCCAGGGCCCCCAGGGGGGAGGUAGCACGGCC